rnacentral:rRNA from 1 species
UACGGAGGGUGCAAGCGUUAUCCGGAUUUACUGGGUUUAAAGGGUGUGUAGGCGGGCCUUUAAGUCUGGGGUGAAAUCUCCGAGCUCAACUCGGAAACUGCCCUGGAUACUAUCGGCCUUGAAUUAUGUUGAGGUUGGCGGAAUAUAACAUGUAGCGGUGAGAUGCAUAGAUAUGUUAUAGAACACCGAUUGCGAAGGCAGCUGACUAAGCAUAUAUUGACGCUGAGGCACGAAAGCGUGGGGAUCAAACAGG